rnacentral:tRNA from 1 species
UCCCGUGUGGCUCAGUUGGCAGAGCAUGGUGCUUGCACCUCCAGGGUUGUGGGUUUGAUUCCCAUGGGGGGAC